CUGUCUUGGGACGGAUCACCACUGCAAGAGGGGAAGUUGCUACUGUGAUGAAUUCUGCCAUGUGGCACCAGACUGCCACCCAGACCACAGUGUCCUCUGCAACCCUGCUUCUCAGAUGACCAAGAUGGUGCUGCAGAUGGUGCUGAGGAUGGAGAACCCACCAAGCCCCGCUAGGAGCCACCUAGACUGGAUGCAGAGCAUGAAGGAAGGCAAGAUUUCCUGGGUCCGUGAUGAUGGAAGGCUGACAACUCUUUUAUGGAGUUUGAGCUUGCUCCCAGCAGGGAAGACAAGUUCGAGUUUUUUUCCUGCUUCAAGGAUGGUAGAGAGCAGUCUUCAGCCUGAGACCCAUCCCUAGGCCCCAGCACCCGCAGAGCAGACACUGCGAUGACAACGGACGACACAGAAGUGCCCGCUAUGACUCUAGCACCGGGCCACGCCGCUCUGGAAACUCAAACGCUGAGCGCUGAGACCUCUUCUAGGGCCUCAACCCCAGCCGGCCCCAUUCCAGAAGCAGAGACCAGGGGAGCCAAGAGAAUUUCCCCUGCAAGAGAGACCAGGAGUUUCACAAAAACAUCUCCCAACUUCAUGGUGCUGAUCGCCACCUCCGUGGAGACAUCAGCCGCCAGUGGCAGCCCCGAGGGAGCUGGAAUGACCACAGUUCAGACCAUCACAGGCAGUGAUCCCGAGGAAGCCAUCUU
rnacentral:sRNA from 1 species